UAGGGAAUCUUCCGCAAUGGACGCAAGUCUGACGGAGCAACGCCGCGUGAGUGAAGAAGGUUUUCGGAUCGUAAAGCUCUGUUGCCAGGGAAGAACGGGUGUGAGAGUAACUGCUCAUGCCAUGACGGUACCUGAGAAGAAAGCCCCGGCUAACUACGUGCCAGCAGCCGCGGUAAUACGUAGGGGGCAAGCGUUGUCCGGAAUUAUUGGGCGUAAAGCGCGCGCAGGCGGUAUUGUAAGUCUGGUGUCUAAGACUGGGGCUCAACCCUGGAACGCACCGGAAACUGCAAGACUUGAGUGCAGGAGAGGAAAGUGGAAUUCCACGUGUAGCGGUGAAAUGCGUAGAGAUGUGGAGGAACACCAGUGGCGAAGGCGACUUUCUGGACUGUAACUGACGCUGAGGCGCGAAAGCGUGGGGAGCAAACA
rnacentral:rRNA from 1 species